UACGAAGGGGGCUAGCGUUGUUCGGAAUCACUGGGCGUAAAGGGCGCGUAGGCGGCUUUAUAAGUCGGGGGUGAAAGCCUGUGGCUCAACCACAGAAUUGCCUUCGAUACUGUAGAGCUUGAGACCGGAAGAGGUAAGUGGAACUGCGAGUGUAGAGGUGAAAUUCGUAGAUAUUCGCAAGAACACCAGUGGCGAAGGCGGCUUACUGGUCCGGUUCUGACGCUGAGGCGCGGAAGCGUGGGGAGCAAACAGG
rnacentral:rRNA from 1 species